CCCAGAGAGAACCAAGAAAAAGCAGGUGGGCACUUUUAGAAAAUUGCACCAUCAGAAAAUCCAGUUCAUUGCUCUGAGGGAAGCACAUUUAGGAGCAAAGCCACCAAAUUACAGUGAACAUCUGUGAGCUGUUUACAAGAUGGCAACAGCCACUGAACUAAAGGCCUCUGCAGAUGCAGAUUAGUCUUUCGAGGAGAGAUAUUUUUCUAAAGUAUGAUGGUUCAAAAGCACCAUUUAGUUUUUGACUUAACGAGAACGACGCAAAAAGACUUUCCACCAUCCACACGGGAUAGUUCACUGGUCCCCUUUGAGGAUGGAGAGAAAGUGACAUAGGCUAUGCCGAUGUGAAGGUGGAUAUCCACACUCGCGUGUGCUGACCACAACAAGCUUUGGAAGAAGGGGUCUCGAUCCACUUCCAAACAGAGCGGUUUGUUUAAGUUUCCUGCACCUUUGGAUCAUUACCCACUUCCCUCUGCACUUACCUGGGUUUCCUCUGACACUGGUCCAACUCACUGCCUGCCUGAAUCUUACCUGCCAGCUGGUUCACUCAACUUCCUGUAAAGAAUCUGGAAACUCACCUGCCUACUACUCACUGUAACCAUCCACCACCCGGAAAAUAAGGUUGGACAUCUUUCUUCACUCGCUGCUCACUGUGCCACUGCCCCGGAGAGUCACCCCUCCAUCAAUAGCCUUAGUUCACCAGUUUGCUAAUGGAUUCAGCCUCUGAAGUUUCCUCCCUUCUCCGUUCUACUAUUGACUAUGUCCGUGUUUAAUAAAAAUCAGUUUGAG